GAUGAAGAACGUAGCGAUAUGCGAUAAGUAAUGUGAAUUGCAGAAUUCAGUGAAUCAUCGAAUCUUUGAACGCACAUUGCGCCCGCCAGUAUUCUGGCGGGCAUGCCUGUUCGAGCGUCAUUUCAACCAUCAAGCCCUGCUUGCGUUGGGGUCCUGCGGCUGCCCGCAGGCCCUGAAAACCAGUGGCGGGCUCGCUAGUCACACCGAGCGCAGUAAUACAUCUCGCUUUGGGCGUGCGGCGGGUUCUUGCCGUUAAACACCCCCUUUUUACCAAGGUUGACCUCGGAUCAGGUAGGAAUACCCGCUGAACUUAAGCAUAUCAAUAAGCGGAGGA
rnacentral:misc_RNA from 1 species